rnacentral:rRNA from 1 species
UACGUAAGGACCGAGCGUUGUCCGGAAUCAUUGGGCGUAAAGGGUACGUAGGCGGUUAGAAAAGUUAGAAGUGAAAGGCUAUAGCUCAACUAUAGUAAGCUUCUAAAACUGGAGACCUUGAGUAAUGGAAGGGAAAGUGGAAUUCCUAGUGUAGCGGUGGAAUGCGCAGAUAUUAGGAGGAAUACCGGUGGCGAAGGCGACUUUCUGGCCAUUAACUGACGCUGAGGUACGAAAGCGUGGGUAGCAAACAGGAUUAGAAACCCCGGUAGUCC